rnacentral:rRNA from 1 species
CCUACGGGGGGCAGCAGUGAGGAAUAUUGGUCAAUGGACGCAAGCCUGAACCAGCCAUGUCGCGUGCAGGAAGACGGCUCUAUGAGUUGUAAACUUCUUUUGUACGAGGGUAAACGCAGACACGCGUACCUUUUUGAAAGUAUCUUACGCAUCAGGAUCGGCUAACUCCGUGCCAGCAGCCGCGGUAAUACGGAGGAUUCAAACGUUAUCCGGAUUUAUUGGGUUUAAAGGGUGCGUAGGCGGGAGGAUAAGUUAGAGGUGAAAUUCCGAGGCUCAACAUGGGAAUUGCCUCUGAUACUGGUAGGCUUGAGAGUAGUUGAGGUAGGCGGAAUGUAUGGUGUAGCGGUGAAAUGCUUAGAGAUCACGCAGAACACCGAUUGCGAAGGCAGCUUACCAAGCUACUACUGACGUUGAGGCACGAAAGCGUGGGGAGCAAACAGGAUUAGAUACCCUAGUAGUC